CCUACGGGAGGCAGGAGUGGGGAAUAUUGCGCAAUGGGCGAAAGCCUGACGCAGCGACGCCGCGUGAGGGAUGAAGGUCUUCGGAUCGUAAACCUCUGUCAGCAGGGAAGAACGGUCACUGUGCUAAUCAGCAGUGAAUUGACGGUACCUGCAAAGGAAGCACCGGCUAACUCCGUGCCAGCAGCCGCGGUAAUACGGAGGGUGCGAGCGUUAAUCGGAAUUACUGGGCGUAAAGCGCUCGUAGGCGGUAUGUCAAGUCAAGGGUGAAAUCCCCGCGCUAAACGUGGGAACUGCCUUUGAAACGGGGAAACUGGGGGGUGUGAGAGGAUAGUGGAAUUCCAGGUGUAGGAGUGAAAUCCGUAGAAAUCUGGAGGAACAUCAGUGGCGAAGGCGACUAUCUGGCACAUAACUGACGCUGAGGAGCGAAAGCGUGGGUAGCAAACAGGAUUAGAUACCCGGUAGUC
rnacentral:rRNA from 1 species